rnacentral:rRNA from 1 species
UUCUGGCUCAGGAUGAACGCUGGCGGCGUGCUUAACACAUGCAAGUCGAACGGAGUUAUCAAUGAAGCCUAGCGAUUGAUAACUUAGUGGCGGACGGGUGAGUAACGCGUGGGUAACCUGCCUUAUCCGGGGGGAUAACAGUUAGAAAUGACUGCUAAUACCGCAUAAGCGCACAGAAUCGCAUGAUUCCGUGUGAAAAGAUUUAUCGGGAUAAGAUGGACCCGCGUCUGAUUAGCUAGUUGGCGAGGUAACGGCCCACCAAGGCGACGAUCAGUAGCCGGCCUGAGAGGGUGAACGGCCACAUUGGGACUGAGACACGGCCCAAACUCCUACGGGAGGCAGCAGUGGGGAAUAUUGCACAAUGGGGGAAACCCUGAUGCAGCGACGCCGCGUGAGUGAAGAAGUAUUUCGGUAUGUAAAGCUCUAUCAGCAGGGAAGAAAAUGACGGUACCUGACUAAGAAGCCCCGGCUAACUACGUGCCAGCAGCGGC